UGGCUUAUAGUUCAACGGAAGCAGAAUAAUUCGCUACGAACGAAUCGAUCCAGGUUCGAGUCCUGGUAAGCCAA
rnacentral:tRNA from 1 species